GGUCUCAUGGUGUAACGGCUAGCACUCUUUACUCUGAAUCCAGCGAUCCGAGUUCAAAUCUUGGUGAGACCU
rfam:Ixodes scapularis strain Wikel colony gcontig_1108379082534, whole genome shotgun sequence.